rnacentral:lncRNA from 1 species
AUGAAUCUCAGAACUACGAGAAACGAGCACACAGAAAAAUACUCCAUUCGUGCAAGCCCAGGCCCUUCCUCCUCUGAGAGCAUUGUUUCCUGGUCUUGCCAUCUUCAGAUCUUGAGCCAAGAGUCAAGCAGUACUGAUUUGGGGCAAGCUAAAAGUUUCCAGGCAGAGUUGGGUAGAAGAGAGGAAAGCUUCUGGCCUGGAAGAACUUCAAAUAAGAGUAGACAGCCAAUGCUUGGAAGACAUUCACUCAACAUCCUCUGGGCUUCUAUUACAUAUUUAGCAAUGUGCUAGAUACACAAGAAAUGCCCUACCCAUAAGAAGCUUAAAGUUUCAUUAGGGAUAUGAAUAAAAUCAUUAGCUAACAAUAUAAGGCAGCCUGUAAUUAAUUUUUCAAAGGUGUGGUAACUCUAUUGUAAGAAUGCAGUGAGUAUAAAAUUCAACUUAGUCUGGAAUUUUGGGGAAAGGCUGCAAGAACAAGUUUAGACUUGAAAUCUAAAAGUAUGAGAAAGAUUUUAGUAAUCUCAAGUGACAGAAAGAUAGGAAGAGAAACAUAAAAGGUCUUAGAGGAAGUAUUUUAGGAUACCCUACAAUUUCACCCCCCAAAACAGUAGAAUUAACACGUUUGGCAUGAAACAAUAAUUUUAGUCAUUUUGCCUAUAAUCUUUCUUUCUUGCUUGUUUUUUCUGAUCCUGGGGAUGGAACCUAAGGACACUCUACCAUUAAGCUGCACUCUUAGCCAUUUUCACUUUUAAUUUUGAUCCUCUACUUUUUCUCCAACAAUUUCCUUCAUGUUUGAUUCUACUCUGGCCCUGCUUCCAUGAAAUUCCGCCUCUGAAAUUUUAGUACAAGUUUAUAAUCCUUCUCUCUGCCAUGUAUGGUUUCUUUUAUUUUGUAUUACCAAAGAUUUAUAUAAAUGAUUUAUAUCAUUUCAUUUAAAAUUUUUACAUUCCCAACUGGAUGAUAAUCCUGUUACAGACAAAGACAGUUUCUGAUAUGUGUUACUGUGCACCCAGAGUCUGGUGUAAUAUGUCAGAUUUCAAGUUUUAUUAAGCACUUGUUAAAUGGACCAGGCAGAAUCUGGACAUCACCUCUGGCUCUAGCCUUCUGGCUGCUGCUCAGUCUUUAGCUCCUAUUCCCUAUCCCAAGGCUGGGCUCAGAGUGAAGCAGGUGGUUCGCAUAUGCAAGAAGAGCUGAAGACAAGACCC